ACACGACUACAUUAGAUACCCGUGUAGUCCUAGCCGUAAACGAUACUCGCUAGGUGUCGGCCACGGUGCGACCGUUGUCGGUGCCGUAGGGAAGCCGUGAAGCGAGCCACCUGGGAAGUACGGCCGCAAGGGCUGAAACUUAAAGGAAUUGGCGGGGGAGCACCACAACGGGUGGAGCUUGCGGUUUAAUUGGAUUCAACGCCGGAAAUCUUACCGGGACCGACAGCAACAUGAAGGCCAGGCUGAAGACUUUGCCGGAUUAGCUG
rnacentral:rRNA from 1 species